rnacentral:rRNA from 1 species
CAGCCGCCGCGGGAAUACGGAGGAUCCGAGCGUUAUCCGGAAUUAUUGGGUUUAAAGGGUGCGUAGGCGGAUAGAUAAGUCAGUGGUGAAAGACGGUGGCUCAACCAUCGCAGUGCCGUUGAUACUGUUUAUCUUGAAUAUGGAUGAGGUAGGCGGAAUGUGGCAAGUAGCGGUGAAAUGCAUAGAUAUGCCACAGAACACCGAUUGCGAAGGCAGCUUACCAAGGCAAAAUUGACGCUGAGGCACGAAAGCGUGGGGAUCGAACAGGAUUAGAUACCCCAGUAGUCCCUGUCUCUUAUAC